rnacentral:rRNA from 1 species
UACGUAGGUGACCAGCGUUGUCCGGAUUUACUGGGCGUAAAGAGCGCGCAGGCGGUCGUUCAAGUCGAGUGUGAAAGCCCCCGGCUCAACUGGGGAGGGUCAUUCGAUACUGAUCGACUCGAAGGCAGGAGAGGGAAGUGGAAUUCCCGGUGUAGUGGUGAAAUGCGUAGAUAUCGGGAGGACACCAGUGGCGAAGGGCGGGCG